GGAUCCUCCAGCCUCCACCACCACAGUAGCUGGGACUACAGCUGUCACAUCUACCUGCGGAAUUCACCUUAUACCUUAGAGAGAGGCUGCAGUCAGUGACAGCUGAUGGGAAAUGCAUCUGUUCCUUUGAGUAAUUCAGCAACAUCAUUACUUCUCAGAAAUGAUAAUUUCUCGCCGGGCGCAGUGCUCACGUCUGUAAUCCCAGCACUUUGGGAGGCCAAGGCGGGCGGAUCACGAGGUCAAGAAAUCGAGA
rnacentral:lncRNA from 1 species